ACGAACGCUGGCGGCGUGCUUAACACAUGCAAGUCGCACGGAAAGGCCCUGCUUUUGUGGGGUGCUCGAGUGGCGAACGGGUGAGUAACACGUGAGUAACCUGCCCUUGACUUUGGGAUAACUUCAGGAAACUGGGGCUAAUACCGGAUAGGAGCUCCUGCUGCAUGGUGGGGGUUGGAAAGUUUCGGCGGUUGGGGAUGGACUCGCGGCUUAUCAGCUUGUUGGUGGGGUAGUGGCUUACCAAGGCUUUGACGGGUAGCCGGCCUGAGAGGGUGACCGGCCACAUUGGGACUGAGAUACGGCCCAGACUCCUACGGGAGGCAGCAGUGGGGAAUAUUGCACAAUGGGCGGAAGCCUGAUGCAGCAACGCCGCGUGCGGGAUGACGGCCUUCGGGUUGUAAACCGCUUUCGCCUGUGACGAAGCGUGAGUGACGGUAAUGUGUAAAGAAGCACCGGCUAACUACGUG
rnacentral:rRNA from 1 species